UGUUUCUGCUUCUAGUCUCUCGUUUCCUUCACUUUGCCGUUACUCUAUGAUUCUAGUUGAACUACAGCACCGAAAUUUCAGUUGAAGCAGUUCGAAAAUUAUCUUUAUAGGACUCUCUAGUCUCUACCCAACAACACUGAAACCCACAAACCCAGUGGGCAUGGGUUCUCUUAUAAAUGAAUCAGAGAGAGAGAGAGAUGACAAGGAGGAGGAAGAGCCCAUUAUAGUAUAGCAAACCCAGAGAUUCUGUAUGUUUCGCAUCAGGUACUAGCAACUUUAGGAGAUGUACAACAAGGCUGAGGCUAGUUUUGGACUGCUGAGGAGGUUGAUCUCUCCCAGGAUGUACAGCUGUGGGAGGCUCUGAUUGACUCCAAGAAACACUUUAUAAGUCAUGUCCUGGCAUUUCUGAGGCAAGGUGUGGCCAAGGUUGCUCGACCCAGUUCUGUACCUCCCGCUGCUCUGAAGGUUGGUGGUGGAAUGAUGAAACUUGGCCCAGUCAAAACAAAGAUGCCUUCAGAAUUGAGAGCUGCUUAGGAUGGGGUUGACAUAAUAAGCUUAUCAAUCACUCCCAAUAGAUGUCCUCCCGGAGUUGCAACAUUUUUCAACCCCAUAGAUAUGGCUUCACUAUCAGCCGUAAAGGUAGGUAUAUUUGUUGUCCAAGCAGCAGGAAAUACCGGACCAUCACCAAAAAGCAUGUCUUCCUUCAGUCCAUGGAUCUUCACUGUUGAUUCUGCUUCUCAUGACAGAACCUACAGCAACUCUAUAACCCUUGGCACAACGUCACCAUUCCUGGAAUUGGACUUACACCUGGUACACAGAAAGAUACAAUGUACACACUGAUUUCUGCAAUACAUGCUUUCACUGAUUUCUGCAAUACAUGCUUUGAAUAAUGACACAACAGUUGCAGAUGAUAUGUAUGUAAGUGAAUGCCAAGACUCGAGCAACUUCAAUCAAGAUCUGGUCUAGGGAAUCCUCUUGGUCUGCAGCUACUCAAUUCAGUUUGUGUUUGGAAUGUUCACAAUAAAGCAAAGCCUUACGAACAGCGCAAAAUUCAAAUGCUUGGUUUUGUUUUAUGGAUUCUUUUAUGAUUGAUUUUCAACCCACUCCAAUGAAAAUACCUGGCCUUUGUCACAGUAAUCAAGUUCUUUUAGUGCUUAAACCUCUCUAAUACAGUAAAGCACGCCAAUUUUGCCUUGGUUCAGCUGCUAGUAAAAUGCACAUCAGCGUCUGUCAAUCUGGCAAGAUUGAUGGGGAAAAGGAGGACGAACUUUUGUGCUUAAACAUUGAAUCUGUGCUUAAACCUAAAGCUUGUCUAAGUUGCGGGCUUAAACAUUGAAUUUGUGUAAGCUGUAUAUAAAAAGAUACAGAUUCUAGGUGUCAGCUUUAUUCUGUUAUUUGGUCAAGAUCUAUUUACAUUCACAACAGAUUCCACUUGUAAA